rnacentral:tRNA from 1 species
GGAUGAGUGGCCGAGAGGCUGAAGGCACCGGUCUUGAAAACCGGCGGCCCUCCGGGGUCCGUGGGUUCGAAUCCCACCUCAUCCG